rnacentral:lncRNA from 1 species
AUUUUAUCAGAUCCAUGGUGGUCCACAUUCUCUUCCCUAUUCUUCUCUUCUUCUUUAUCAUUAAAAAACUAAACUGAUUUUUUCCCCGUAAAUAUAUGCUUCGGGUAUUGCACUCAGCCUUCACCGUCGUCGGAAUCAAACCUCGGAAUCAAACCUCGACGUCGUCGUCAGUGGGAUCCGGCGAGAAGAUAUAUCGGGCAACAUCAAUGGAGGAGUUUCAUAUUUUUCAACUUUCAUCCUCUAGUUUCCUUCUUCUUUCAAAAUAUGUCUCAAACUUCCAAUUUGAUCACAUUAUUUCACAAAUUUACCCUAAUACUUUUAAUGUUUCAAUCUAGCAUUUAUUGUAUUUUAUAGAAAUGGUCCGUCGGCUUUUGAUUCUUUUUAGUAUGGCACUGAAAUAUUAGAUAGUGAAGAUUAGUCUCCAAUUUCA